rnacentral:lncRNA from 1 species
AAAGGUGCCGCCCCGGUCUCUCCGUCCCGCCCCGAGCACGCCCCUCACUCCGCACCGGCCAAUGGCACCGCCCCGUCCGCCCCGCUCUGGGAACGCCGCUCCAGCAGAUGUGACAUAGACUGGAAGUGAUGGACCCAGACAACAAUCAGAACCAAAGCACCAGAUGAGCCACCUCAGCCACGUGAGCCAUGCCAGCCACCCUACCUGUGACCCCAUCUGUGGCCCCAGUUAUCAUGGAGUAGAGAAAGAAAGAGCAAGAGCAGGCAGGAGGGCAAGACGACAGCAAGAGAACAAGAAAGAAACCUGAAGAAAAGAAGUUUUAGUGAAGAUGGAAAGGCUUAAAACAUACCAUGGAGAAUGACCUCAGCCUUCUGUGUGGAGGAUUUGCACUUGGAGAUAAGGAAAGAGAGGGACUUCAGAGAGUUAAGCAGUUCAGUUUCCUUUGCAUUUCUUACAUCUGAGCAGGUGACCGGAGUGAACACUCUGGAAGCCACAGUGGAGUCCUCUGCUUGGGGCCUCUUUCUGGAAACCAGAUCAAUUCACUGAAAAACAAUUUGCAAAUGACUAGUUCAUUGAGAAGCAAGUGACCAAAACUCUAAGUCACCGAAUGACCUGCUCAUUGAUUUAUUGAAGAUUUUAUUCCAAGGUCUACUUCCCUCUGCAUUUGUGGCUGCCAUUUCAUAUGUGAAUGGGUGGGCAGUUUGCUGUCAUGCCCUUUUUGUGCAUCUCUAUCCUGACCCUGUAUGUGGUGCUGCCUUUUCCCAGGCCCCCUGCCCCUGCCCUGGCCUCUGUCUGCAAAGCAGUUGCAGCAACCUCCCUCUUGCUGUUGAAGAUACUCAUCUGAUGUCUAUUGUGAAUUGGCUGGAGCCCUUCUACAGGUUUGUUAGCGUCCCUCUGCAUCCAGGCUGAUGGUGCCUGCCAUGCUUCUACAUGCUGUUCUCUGCCACCCACCUGAGCCCAGCUAGAGUCAGUGGGGAAGUGGAGGAGCCACAUCAAAACAGUGUGUCCACCUCAGUCACCCUCCAGUGUGCAUUGACGACCAGGCAGCCAUUAGACCCAAAUGCAGCCCCACAGCAUAGAGGCAAAUGGAAAGGCCACAUAUCCUCUUUUCAUUCUCCUUCCAUGUGAGGCCCUGCAGAGCCUGGCAUCUGUCUUCAUCAUCGUGGCAUCCUCAGACUCUUUCUUCUUCCUGGAGCGAGCUGUGCUCUCUGAAGCCACUGCCUGUGUGGGAAGUACCCCAGCAUUUCUUCGCUGUUGCCAGGCAUCCCUUCCUGUCCUACCACUUCAAAUGCAUCUUUUCAUGUGUCCUUCCUGAGCACCUCUAGCAGCUGCAUGUUCCUGUUUCAGCCUCUGCCUUUCCACAGCUCCUCCAAGAUUCCUCUAUUGCAGAGCACAGCACCACCUUGCAGGAAACCUCCCAGAGGACUGUGAGGACCAUGAAGCAAGGGGCUGCAUCUUAUUCUCCUUGGUGUCUGGCCCAGCAGUGGGCCCAGGCCAGAUGCCAUUAAGAACAUUCAUGAUUCAUGAGAGGAGAUCAAAAUAUCAACAUAAACAGGAGUUUGAAAGAAGUUGAUUUCAACCCUUGUGGAUGACUAUGAGAGAUUCAAGGCUUCAGUGGAGAAUGCACCUACAGAUAUGGUGGAAACAGCAAAAGAAAUAGAAUCAGAAGUGGAGCCUGAAGAUUAAACUGAAUUGCUGCAAUCUCAUGAUAAAACUUGAACAGAUGAGGAGUUGCUUCUUACAGAGGGUUAGGAACUGUCAGAGUGUGGCUCAACUGAGAAACAACUUUCUGAGUAGAGGUGGGGAAAGAUGGGCUAAGAGGCUUCUGAGGUCAUGUGUUCACCAUCACUGAGGCACUGUGAUGUGUUAGGUGGGUCUGAACCCUCUGGCUUCAGAGAGAGUGCCUGUGGGGCACCAGGUAAUCCGAGACUGCAGCUCAGAGAUUACUCCAGCAAAGGGUCAGGUAUCCACACUGCCUCUGCUACCUGCCCGUUGGUCACUCACUCAUUGUUCUGAUGAUAAGAUCGACAGAUCACAAGAAGGACUGUGGCUUGAAGUUCCAGAGCAGAGAUGCACAUUACUGUCUACCGCUGAAGUGAACUGCUGCCCCUCUGGAGUCUGGAUAUCAUCAGAAUGAAAAAGCGAGUGUCAUGGGCAAAGCGAGGAGUCCAGCAGGAUGGACGCUGUGUGGUUUCUCAGCUGGAGCGCAGCAGGAGCAAGCGUGGAAACAUCCUUCUUUUCUCUUCUCCCCUCCCCUCCCCAAGUGCAAAUGGAACCUGUGAAAUAUGGCUUGAUUUUGAGGCUUCUAAUUCUUCAUUGCACUCCCAGACCCUUCUUUUAUCUCUGGUGGCAGCCCUGAGAAUAAAUCUCUUGGUCACAUUCUUCAAUCAGUUUCUCCCAGAGAAAAGGUUAGGCUGCAAGGAUGAUAGGAACCAGACUUCAAAUGGGUUUCCAGGAGCUGAGGGAAGGAAAGGUUUUUCCUACAGUUUCUCCAGCCAAGGGAUUAAGAAAAGGAUGGGGUCAUAGAGCAACAGCAGUAGAAGGUGGCAUUCCAAGACUUUCUCCAGGACUCCACCUAAGGUCAGUUUCUCGUCACUCAUACCUGUUUGUCUUUUGCCUGGCCACCAUCAAUGUAGAGUUAAGAACCAGGAGGCAGGAACAUGCUCCCCAAGUCACAGUCUGCCUCCCACAUACUGCAGUUUGAUUACAGCAUCCUGCCUCUCCACAGGAGGAAAGUGGUGUCAUUCUCCAGAACCAGGUGUGGAUUGUGAUCAGACCUAGAAUUGGCUAGGUAAAAAGCUUAAGAGAGAGAUUCCAUGUCCUGCAACACUGUCCACAAUUCAAAUCUGUAUUCAAAAUAAAACUAAAAGCAGAGAAAAUCCACAGCAGACCUACCACUCUCCAGGCAGAUAGUGCCCUCUCCACAAUCUGCAGCCAUCAACUGCCUCUGCUGGACGCUGCCCAGAGAGAGACCUGCUGCUGCAGAGCAGCUCUGUGUCAGCCACUGCGGCCUUAGAGAGAGCUGCAGGAAAUGGGACUUCUCACGUGCUCUCCACAGUGGAACCACAGGUCAGCAGCUGAAUGGAGCCUCUACCCUCUGGAUGCCUUUCUUGUCACUUAGUAUUCUUUUUUUUCUCAUUCUGGUACUUUAUCUGCUGGAAACUUUCAAAUGUAUUACUAAUGUCCUUCCAAACAGACUCCACAUGGGAAUUUUCAUGAUAUCUUGGCUAUAUUUACACAAAGAUUAGCUUGCAGGAAACACAAAAUAAGUAUGCAUAAAUAAAUGAGUGGCUCAGCACACC